rnacentral:rRNA from 1 species
UACAGGGGGUGCAAACGUUGCUCGGAAUUAUUGGGCGUAAAGCGCGCGUAGGCGGCUACUUAAGUCGGAUGUGAAAGCCCCUGGCUCAACUGGGGAAGUGCACCCGAAACUGAGCAGCUAGAGUACGAAAGAGGGUCGCGGAAUUCCCGGUGUAGAGGUGAAAUUCGUAGAUAUCGAGAGGAACACCGGUGGCGAAGGCGGCCUUCUGGACAGUGACUGACGCUGAGACGCGAAAGCGUGGGGAGCAAACAGG